rnacentral:rRNA from 1 species
UACGAAGGGUGCAAGCGUUACUCGGAAUUACUGGGCGUAAAGCGUGCGUAGGUGGUGAGUUAAGUCUGUCGUGAAAGCCCCGGGCUCAACCCGGGAAGUGCACUCGAUACUGCCGAGCUAGAGUAUCGGAGAGGUUGGUGGAAUUCUCGGUGUAGAGGUGAAAUUCGUAGAUAUCGAGAGGAACACCGGUGGCGAAGGCGGCCAACUGGACGAAUACUGACGC